CCUACGGGUGGCAGCAGUGAGGAAUAUUGGUCAAUGGGCGCGAGCCUGAACCAGCCAAGUAGCGUGAAGGAUGACUGCCCUACGGGUUGUAAACUUCUUUUAUAAAGGAAUAAAGUGAGGCACGUGUGCCUUUUUGUAUGUACUUUAUGAAUAAGGAUCGGCUAACUCCGUGCCAGCAGCCGCGGUAAUACGGAGGAUCCGAGCGUUAUCCGGAUUUAUUGGGUUUAAAGGGUGCGUAGGCGGAUCGUUAAGUCAGUGGUCAAAUUGAGGGGCUCAACCCCUUCCCGCCAUUGAAACUGGCGUUCUUGAGUGGAAGAGAAGGAAGCGGAAUGCGUGGUGUAGCGGUGAAAUGCAUAGAUAUCACGCAGAACUCCGAUUGCGAAGGCAGCAUACCGGCGCCCAACUGACGCUGAAGCACGAAAGCGUGGGUAUCGAACAGGAUUAGAUACCCCUGUAGUC
rnacentral:rRNA from 1 species